CACGGGGGAGCAAGCGUUGUUCGGAAUCACUGGGCGUAAAGGGCGUGUAGGCGGUCAAGUAAGUGGGAUGUGAAAUCCCUCGGCUCACCCGAGGACCUGCAUCCCAAACUGCUUGGCUUGAGUAUGGGAGAGGAUGAGGGAAUUCCUGGUGUAGCGGUGAAAUGCGUAGAGAUCCGGAAGAACACCGGUGGCGAAGGCGGUCUGCUGGGCAGUUGCUGACGCUCAG
rnacentral:rRNA from 1 species